GACGAACGCUGGCGGCGUGCUUAACACAUGCAAGUCGAACGGAAAGGCCCUGCUUUUGUGGGGUGCUCGAGUGGCGAACGGGUGAGUAACACGUGAGUAACCUGCCCUUGACUUUGGGAUAACUUCAGGAAACUGGGGCUCAUACCGGAUAGGAGCUCCUGCUGCAUGGUGGGGGUUGGAAAGUUUCGGCGGUUGGGGAUGGACUGGCGGCUUAUCAGCUUGUUUGUGGGGUAGGGGCUUACCAAGGCUUUGACGGGUAGCCGGCCUGGGAGGGUGACCGGGCACAUUGGGACUGAGGUACGGCCUAGACUCCUACGGGAGGCAGCAGUGGGGAACAUUGCACAAUGGGCGGAAGCCUGAUGCAGCAACGCCGCGUGCGGGAUGACGGCCUUCGGGUUGUAAACCGCUUUCGCAUGUGACGAAGCGUGAGUGACGGUAAUGGGUAAAGAAGCAACGGCUAACUACGUG
rnacentral:rRNA from 1 species